rnacentral:lncRNA from 1 species
AUUGAAGUUAAUCACGAAUAUGACAUACCGCACUGCGUUCAAUCAAACAAGUUUGCUUAAUGAUUUUUGCGUCAACGCCACAGAAAUGUUGCAUUCUUUUAUAUUCGUCCAGAAUACGAACCAAUCGCCAUAAGUUCUUUCCUGGGCAGCGAUGAAUUUUGUAUGUUCGGUGCGUGGUGAGUACCAUUCGGUAACAGUUGGCAGCAUGAGAGAAGCCGGCAUUCCGGCGAAGCGCAUUUGCUUCUCGUCCCAACCCCCCACAGCUUUACCGGAAUGGGCAUCACUUUACAUGAAAUCGGUCAUUCCAGGGAGGCCUGUCAUUUGCGAAACUGUUUUCCCGCCGAUCGCCAUGGGUCCGCACGGGUUUCUCCCUCUGGCAAGAGCUGCUACUGGUGAGCUGCCGGUGGCAGUGGCUUAGCGGCUUGACUUCUCUGUUCUGCUUCUCCCAUAUGGACAUAUCCUUGCAUACGCGGUCCAACACCUCGUCUACAACUGCAUCGACGCCAGUCUUUAUGACCUGUUGUCUUUGGCGGUCGCCCGCAGUUUGUUUGAGACUACGGUGCAUGCAGUCAGUUUUCCCCUCAUACCUGUUGUGACGGAAAGGUGGCGGGCCUUCACUGGCAUUUCGAGUCUGUAACGUAGGGUAAGGCGGGUGCUCGUAGUCAGGCGCACCAAUCCGGGGUUCUACUGGCCAAUUAGGAUCCGAUAGGGACGAAAACGGGAAGUCGUAACCUGACCAAUUACCGUCUGGCAUACAGCGGUGCCGCAGCAUUUCCAAGUACGCGCAGCGCUGCGAGGCAUGGGCGGCCGCAAUAUCAGUGGUGGUCGGUACUGCUACUUCUUGCAGUUCCCAAAGGUGACACAUAGUAUCAUUGCAACAGCUGGCAAAGAUAGGCCGCCCCAUCACAACCUCUGAAGGGACUUCCUGAAUCCAGAGGGGACCUCGGUUGCCGUCCAGGUCGUACACGAGACGAACUCGCAGUCUUUGCUGUAUACUGUCUGUCUUGUCUGGAACGUGUAUACAUUCGAGAAACAGGAUGCUGCCUUUGUCCGUGCCCACGCAUAGGACCAUCCUUUUGUAGGGGGCCUCUUGAGUGGCUCCAUCAAUGCAGGACAGCAGCGACGGUGGUGGAACUGGAGAAGGAUCGUGAGUAUUGUCUUCGUCGGUUGUGCUGAGUCGCGCUUCUUCUGGGGGAUUAAUCCAGUGAACGGACGUGAUCGCGUCCUCAGGUUUCACACCCAGUUCCAUCAGUGUGGCAUGUAUUUGGCAUCCAGGGUAAUUCUCUGCAUCCGGCUGAAGGCUUAUUAGGGCAAUUUGGCUCUUUGUGUCUGCAGAUGCUGCAGCGAGGAUAAUAACUUGCUGAUCAUUUAUGUGUUGUGGAGUUGCGGCCAGUGCAUGAAAAGCUCCGGGAAGAGCUCGGACUGAAUGGACAGAUACGUCGAAGUGAUGAGUGUACUGUGGUUCGACAACGAUCACAUUAAAAAUUAGAAUUCCUUCCGUUGGUGAAACUGCUGCAACAUGGAACACGUCAGCGUUUGGGGGGGCCCUUGGGUGCAGCAGUAUGUCUGGGAGGAGGAUAGCAUCCUCAACGGGGGCUUGAACGUCUGAAAGCCAUGGGACGGUCAGGUAGGAGAAGCAAUUGUCAUACAGGGCGCUCCACACCGCCAGGCGGCUUUGUUUGCCUGUAAAUGCACGAAACACUCGUACACAUAAUUGCGUUUGUGUCGCAUGCUCUGUCAUUUAUAUUCUGCGUCUUUCUGAGGUCAUUCAUGCCUGUCUGCCUUGAAGGCUGUCCUGGAGGGUACACGCAAUGAUUUGGGGUGGAGGUGAGCUGGAAGUACGAGUGAUUUUCAUUCAUGCUCACCGACGGCCAUGACAGAGCGACCUCCUCCGCUUACGAGUAGAGUUUGUACUUCUUGCCCGAAAUACACUGCAUUCCAUCAUCAACAAACAAGAUUCUGCAGGGGCGGAUGUGGAAUUGUGUGGCAGCAGUGUAUCAAGUGGAGAACCUGAAACGUGUCAUUCUGCUGCCCACAUUAAGCCAACGUUCUGCAUGGUGGGGAGGACGAUUUACGGUGCGUGCUUCGCUAGUGUAGCAAAGAAGCGUAGUGAAGUGCGACUAAGGCAGAUAUAUUGAGAUUACGAGGAUACUCAAGCCCGAGAGUAUUGUGCUUACAGCAUAUACAACUGUCUUCGUCACCUGUCUGUGAUUAUGUGUGCCGUUCACGAAGCUCCAUGUGUAUGAAGAAUUGAGGUCGGCAGACGGGUGAUGUUUCCGCUGGUACGGAAGAGCAGGCUUACGGCAGUCAAUCUGGAUCAUCUCCGUCAUGUUGCGAAUGAGCCAUCGACGUAAAUGUCCAUCCUGAAAAUAUAACGGAGAACCCAUGAGAGUCAGUAGUGUUCCUUUUCGUUCAACAAGUCAAAAGCCCCGAUUGAGCGUAAUUAUAAUUUCUUCCAG